rnacentral:rRNA from 1 species
GGGCCCGCACAAGCGGUGGAGCAUGUGGUUUAAUUCGAUGAUACGCGAGGAACCUUACCAGGGCUUAAAUGUAAGUUGCAUUAGUUAGAGAUAGCUAUUUCUUCGGACCACUUACAAGGUGCUGCAUGGUUGUCGUCAGCUCGUGCCGUGAGGUGUCAGGUUAAGUCCUAUAACGAGCGCAACCCCUGUUGUUAGUUGCCAGCGAGUCAUGUCGGGAACUCUAACAAGACUGCCGGUGCAAACCGUGAGGAAGGUGGGGAUGACGUCAAAGUCAUCACGGCCCUUACGUCCUGGCUACACACGUGCUACAAUGGCACUUACAAUGGGAAGCAAAGAGGUGACUCCUAG